GCAGUCGUAACAAGGUGAGCCCUUCGGGGUACACGAGCGGCGAACGGGUGAGUAACACGUGAGCAACCUGCCCCUGACUCUGGGAUAAGCGGUGGAAACGCCGUCUAAUACCGGAUACGACCUUCCGCCUCAUGGUGGAGGGUGGAAAGUUUUUUCGGUCAGGGAUGGGCUCGCGGCCUAUCAGCUUGUUGGUGGGGUAACGGCCUACCAAGGCGAUUACGGGUAGCCGGCCUGAGAGGGCGACCGGCCACACUGGGACUGAGACACGGCCCAGACUCCUGCGGGAGGCAGCAGUGGGGAAUAUUGCGCAAUGGGCGAAAGCCUGACGCAGCGACGCCGCGUGGGGGAUGACGGCCUUCGGGUUGUAAACCUCUUUUACCACCAACGCAGGCUCCGGGUUCUCUCGGGGUUGACGGUAGGUGGGGAAUAAGGACCGGCUAACUACGUGCCAGCAGCCGCGGUAAUACGUAGGGUCCGAGCGUUGUCCGGAAUUAUUGGGCGUAAAGAGCUCGUAGGCGGCGUGUCGCGUCUGCUGUGAAAGACCGGGGCUUAACUCCGGUUCUGCAGUGGAUACGGGCAUGCUAGAGGUAGGUAGGGGAGACUGGAAUUCCUGGUGUAGCGGUGAAAUGCGCAGAUAUCAGGAGGAACACCGGUGGCGAAGGCGGGUCUCUGGGCCUUACCUGACGCUGAGGAGCGAAAGCAUGGGGAGCGAACAGGAUUAGAUACCCUGGUAGUCCAUGCCGUAAACGUUGGGCGCUAGGUGUGGGGACUUUCCACGGUUUCCGCGCCGUAGCUAACGCAUUAAGCGCCCCGCCUGGGGAGUACGGCCGCAAGGCUAAAACUCAAAGGAAUUGACGGGGGCCCGCACAAGCGGCGGAGCAUGUUGCUUAAUUCGACGCAACGCGAAGAACCUUACCAACGUUUGACAUC
rnacentral:rRNA from 1 species